rnacentral:rRNA from 1 species
UACGUAGGGUGCAAGCGUUAAUCGGAAUUACUGGGCGUAAAGCGUGCGCAGGCGGUUGUGCAAGACAGAUGUGAAAUCCCCGGGCUCAACCUGGGAAUGGCAUUUGUGACUGCACGGCUAGAGUAUGGCAGAGGGGGGUAGAAUUCCACGUGUAGCAGUGAAAUGCGUAGAGAUGUGGAGGAAUACCGAGUGGCGAAGGCAGGCCCCCUGGGCCAAUACUGACGCCUCAUGCGACGAAAGCGUGGGGAGCAAACAGG